UAUAUAAAUUAGCAAAUUAUCGUUCCUGAAUAGGUGGCGCCGUGGUAGCCGAUCCUGUUCCUCAACUUCCGGUUUCUGCAAUGUGCAACUAUUUCAGUUACAUUUUUAAUUAACGAUGCCAAGUACUUGUUGUUGUGUUCCUGGAUGUCUUUUAAGAGGAGGACAUGCAUUUCCAAAUGACUUUAAAAGAAGGAAAAGUUGGAUCAACGCCAUGGCCCAUACGCAGAUUGGACGAGAACACGAUGAAAUCGUGGAGUCCAUCUCAAUCAGCUGUUGCUUGCAAGGCACAUUUUACUGAAAAAGACUACGUGCAGGAAACUAUUCAUGGGCGCAAACCCACCAUACAGAGACUUAAGUCUACUGCCAUUCCCAGCCUAUUUUCCUGGACCAAGCAAGAGACUGAAUAGUCCGCAAAAAGAAAAAUCAGGGCAGUUUCCUGUGAAAACAAAAUAACUAAACUUGAUGAAUAUUGUAGUAGAAAUCUAGAGGAAAGUUUUGAUUGUAAAGUUGGUUUUCCUGAAGAAGUCAUUCAUACUGCAGAAAGGAUUUAUGACUGUCCACCACAAACUGCCGAGCUAAUGUUGAGCUUCAAAGAUGGAAUUACGCAAACACCAUCAAUGUCUAUGUUUUCAGCAGAGAAUUUUGAAAUGAAGACACGUGACACAGCCAUGCAUUUUUGGUCCAGCAGCACAUUGUUUGAGAUACAUAUAUUUUCAAAUUGAUAGGGUUUUUUUAUGACUUUGAUGAAAUUGAGGCAUUAUACAACCAACUUUGAACUUUCUAGAUUGAAUCUAGUGUUAAGAAUAUUGUGUAUACAUGGAUUGUUUUUAUGCCUAAACAGUGGUGUGAGGCUAACACUUGGCCAUCUAGUGGUUUAGUCAGGCAUUUUUCGCCAUCCAACUUCAAAUUAAAGUUUCCUACGACUUGGAUUAUUAUUGACAGCACAGAAUAUCCCGUGAUAAAACCUAAAUCUCCUAGAGCUCAGGCAACCUUUUCAUCAUAUAAAAACAGAAAAUCUGAAAAUACUUGUAUGUUUGACGCCUGGUGGUUUAGUCAACUAUGUCUCUAAUGCAUAUGUUGGUUCUACCAGUGACUAUGAAAUAGUUGAAAGAUGUAGAAUACAAAAUGUAGUUCAAUUAUGUGAUCCAGGUGACAGUGUGAUGGCAGACAAAGGUUUAAAUGUGCAAGAUUUGUUUGCUAACUUUUUUCAAAAAAAGAAACAGAAUUAGUUCCAAAACUCUUAUACGGGAUAGAAAAGUCUCCAAAUAACAUGUGCACAUAGAGCGAAUUAUUGGACUUGGCAAAACAUACAAAAUUCUCACAAAUCCUAUGAAUGGAACUGAAACAAAACUUUCAUCUGAAAUAACAUUUAGUUGUUUUAUGUUGUGUAAUUUUAGAACUUGUUUUGUGCCAAAGGAUGCAGAAAUAAAAGUGACGCAAUGAA